rnacentral:rRNA from 1 species
AGCGAACGCUGGCGGCAGGCCUAACACAUGCAAGUCGAACGAACCUUUCGGGGUUAGUGGCGGACGGGUGAGUAACACGUGGGAACGUGCCUUUAGGUUCGGAAUAACUCAGGGAAACUUGUGCUAAUACCGAAUGUGCCCUUCGGGGGAAAGAUGUAUCGCCUUUAGAGCGGCCCGCGUCUGAUUAGCUAGUUGGUUGAGGUAAUGGCUCACCAAGGCGACGAUCAGUAGCUGGUCUGAGAGGAUGAUCAGCCACAUUGGGACUGAGACACGGCCCAAACUCCUACGGGAAGCAGCAGUGGGGAAUCUUGCGCAAUGGGCGAAAGCCUGACGCAGCCAUGCCGCGUGAAUGAUGAAGGUCUUAGGAUUGUAAAAUUCUUUCACCGGGGACGAUAAUGACGGUACCCGGAGAAGAAGCCCCGGCUAACUUCGUG